UGGGUUGAAGGAAACCGUCUUCUCUCCUCCUCUCUCACUCUGUCCAAACUCUCAACCCUGAUUUCCUCGUGGUUUUGUUGUUUGCUUUCUUUUCUUGUUUCCUCUUCUUUCUAUCUUGCUGCAAUUGGCCUUUUCUAGAUUCUAACCUAAUCUGAGUGACUGGGUUUCCUCUACUCUCCUCUCCUCUCCUCUCGUCUCGUCUCGGAAGGGUGUAUUAUAUGUAAUGUGUUUCUUGCUUAAAUUGGUAUGGGCGUGGCUGCAUGUUAUCCUCUCAAAUAAAUGCCCCAAGACCUGAUGGCAUAGUCAAUUUCAGUAUAAUCAACUGGUUAUCUUUUCCCCUACAACUCCAAAACAUUGUUAGCAAUGGAUUUGAGGAGACUGGCUGUCAUCAAACCCAUCUAUAUCUACACCCCAAUCACACGCCCCUUAACCUGCGUAACAUCUACUACUACUACCACUUCUGUUGCCCAACAACUCAAGCCUCAACAGCAGCCUCCUCCGCCGCCUUUGAAUCGAACCGAUUCCUCCUCCUCCUACAAUCCUAUUAAUAACAGUAACCAGAGUUUGCUUGGUAGGCUGUCUUGUAUUCUCUCUAAGCCAUCCCUAGACUCUUCCAAAUGCAAACAUCUCCUUCCUCUUUUGUCCCCUUCCGAUUUUGAUCGAUUCUUCUUGGCCCUUUUCCCCCAUGUCAAUCCCAAAACCACUUUGAACUUUUUUUACCUUGCUUCCCAAUCCUUCAACUUCCAUUUUACCCUUCGAUCAUAUUUUAUUUUGAUUCUUUUUCUUCUUCUUUCCCAUCAUUUUUCCCCUGCUAGAUUGCUUUGCAUUCGUUUGAUUGAUGGGAAGCUUCCGCUUUCCUCUCCUAACAAUCCUAUCAUUAAUCAUAUUCAGAUUGCUACUGCAUUGGCGGAUUUGAAUACCUCUCUUAAAGGGGUUCCUGGGGUUAUGGGGGUUGAUUUGUUGCUGCAUCUCUAUUGCACCCAGUUCAAGAAUGUGGGUUUCACUUAUGCUAUUGAUGUUUUUUUUACACUGGCCGACAAGGGUAUGUUUCCUUCUUCCAAAACCUGCAACUUUUUCUUGAAUUCUUUAGUGAAGGCUAAUGAGCUGCAAAAGACGUAUCAAGUGUUUGAAACUUUGUUUCCUUUUGUCUCUCUUGAUGUGUACUUGUGUACUACUAUGAUUAAUGCAUUUUGCAAGGGUGGAAGAAUUGAGGACGCUAUUGCCCUGUUCUCUAGAAUGGAAAACUUGGGUAUUGCUCCAAAUGUAGUUACUUAUAAUAAUAUUAUCCACGGAUUAUGCAAGAAUGGCAGACUGGAUGAUGCAUUUCGGCUUAAACAGAACAUGACAAAACAGGGAGUGCGACCCAGCCUCAUUACAUAUAGUGUUCUUAUCAAUGGUUUGAUUAAAUUGGAUAAAUUUGAGGAAGCAAAUUCUGUUUUGAAGGAAAUGUCUGAUAAGGGGUUUGUCCCGAAUGAGGUUGUUUAUAAUACGUUAAUUGAUAGCUACUGCAAGAUGGAAAAUAUUGAUGAGGCACUUAGGAUAAGGGACGACAUGUUGUCCAAGGGAAUGAAUCCCAAUUCUGUCACAUUUAAUUCCCUUAUGCAGGGGUUUUGCAGGACUGGCCAAAUGGAGCAUGCUGAGCAUCUUUUAGAGGAAAUGCUAGCUAUAGGGUUAUCUAUAAACCUUGGUGCCUUCAGUUCUGUAAUUCGAUGGUUAUGCAUGAAGUCUAGAUUCGAUUCUGCUAUUCAUUUUACCAAGGAAAUGUUAUUGAGAAAUUUAAGGCCUAAUGACAGGUUGAUGACUACCUUGGUUGGUGGACUUUGCAAGGAUGGAAAGCAUUCUGAGGCUAUUGAACUUUGGUUGAAGCUCUUUGAGAAAGGAUUUGCACCCAACACUGUGACCUCAAAUGCUUUAAUUCAUGGUUUAUGUGAAGCAGGUAAGAUGCAAGAGGUAAUUACACUUCUAAAGGAGAUUCUACAGAGGGGUUUGGUAUUCGAUAGGGUCUCAUACAAUACACUCAUUUUGGGAUGUUGCAAAGAGCAGAAAGUGGAGGAAGCUUUUAGGUUAAAGGAAGAGAUGUUUAAGCAAGGAAUUCAGCCUGACAUUUAUACCUACAAUUUGCUUAUACAUGGCAUUUCGAAUAUGGGGAAAAUGGAAGAUGCUGUUAAGGUUUGGGAUGAGUGCAAAAGGCAUGGUAUAGUUUCCGAUGUUUAUACAUAUGCAAUCUUGAUAGAUGGCUACUGUAAAGCUGACAAAAUUGAAGAGGGUCAAAACCUGUUCAAUGAAUUGAUUACUAACAGAGUGGAGCUCAAUGCUGUUGUUUACAAUACACUGAUCAGAGCUUACUGUAAAAAUGGGAAUAUUAUGGUGGCCUUUAAACUUCGUGAUGACAUGAAAAGCAAGGGUAUCCCACCAACUAUUGCCACAUAUUCUUCUCUAAUACAUGGAAUGUGCAACAUGGGUCUUCCUGAUGAUGCAAGACAACUUCUUGUGGAAAUGAGAGGACUGGGAUUGUUGCCUAAUGUCGUCUGUUAUACAGCACUAGUUGGAGGUUAUUGUAGGCUAGGUGAAAUGGAUAAAGUUGGGAGUCUCUUACAGGAAAUGUCUUCAUAUAAUGUACAACCUAAUAAAAUUACCUAUACUGUCAUGAUCGAUGGGUACUGUAAAUUGGGUAACAUGAAAGAAGCAGCGAAGCUCCUCAGUGAGAUGGUUAAAAAUGGAAUUGUCCCGGAUACCAUCACUUAUAAUGCCUUUACCAACGGGUUAUGUAAGGAAGGGAGGGUGGACGAUGCUUUUAAAGUAUGUGAUAAUAUGGCUAACGAAGGACAACCAUUGGAUGAAAUUACAUAUACAACAUUGAUUCAUGGGUGUCAUCAGCUGUCAGAACUCUCUAGUCAAGAAUGAGCAAAGUUCCCGAAGGUUGGUUUCAUAUUUCUGUAUAGUAUAUUCUUGAUGUGAUAUCUCACUGGAUCUUUGCAACAAUAUUAUAUAAUGUCCUACUUGGCCCAGUUGCUGUUUUACUAUGUUUGGUUACUUGUAUUUUGCAUUUUUCCUUUCUUAGGAAAGCUUAUUGUUGACUAUGGGACAACAAUGGCUCAUCUCUCUUUUUCAAAUUUCAUAGUCGUUGUUAAACAUCAAAGGCAAGCUGCUAGCAAGCAAUGGAGUACAAAGCCAUGCAUGGUCUGGGUUUAAGGCUGAUGCUUCAGGGUCCUGGAGAAUGUUGUAAAAGAUAAAUUUGCUUGUGUGGGGUUGUUACGACUGUCUUGCAUCAUGAAAAAGAUGUUGGAGAGUAGGGGUUUGCUUUGUUUAUUUGGACUUUUAAACUUGACGUUCUCCUGCAUGUCUAGAAGUGCCAUGUGUCGCGAUCAAGUUCCUCCUAGUAAGACUGAGCACGUGGCAUAUUAUAUGGGAGCCUACCCUGUGUGCAUCAUUUCUCGGCUAAUCAGUAGAGAUGGGCAACCUGCUUUUGGCGUUAUUUGACAGAUUCCUGUUUUUAUUACCUUGCCAACUAGGUGGAGUCCAUUGUUUUGGAAGUUUUAAGGUAAAAAAAAAAAAAAUCCCCUCCUCUCCUUUUUGUUCGGGAAUUAGGAUUUUGAAGUAGGAAGGAAGAAAAAAAGAAACAACAAAGCAGUUCUGGGUGUUUGGGCUUGUAAGUCCGGAAGAAAUACUGAUUUAGGUGUGUAUAAGAUUGACAAGUCAUAUCAGCAAUCACGUGAUCUGUUAGUAGAAUAUUGUAUUUUUAGUUUUUGUGAUCAUCUUCAGCAACUUCAAUUGUAAAAAAGCAAAAAAAAAAAAAAAGAAUGUUUUUUGUUGAUGAGUCAUACUUUCAUAGAAGGAAAUUAUGAGAAAAAGUAAUUAAUAAGAGUCAAGAAAGAGACUGUCAAAUUCCUGAUAUUCUUGAGAUUCAAUACAAUACUCAAUUUUAAAAA